UACGUAGAAGACUAGUGUUAUUCAUCUUUAGUAGGUUUAAAGGGUACCUAGACGGUUAUUUAAGUCGGGUGUGAAAGCCCCGGGCUCAACCUGGGAAUUGCAUUCGAGACUGAAUAGCUAGGGUACGGUAGAGGGAAGUGGAAUUUCCGGUGUAGCGGUGAAAUGCGUAGAUAUCGGAAGGAACAUCAGUGGCGAAAGCGACUUCCUGGACAAGUACCGACGUUCAGGCACGAAAGCGUGGGGAGCAAACAGG
rnacentral:rRNA from 1 species